ACGAACGCUGGCGGCGUGCUUUACACAUGCAAGUCGAGCGAUGAGAUCCCUUCGGGGAUGGAUUAGCGGCGAACGGGUGAGGAACACGUGAAGAAUCUACCUUCAACACUGGGAUAACUCCGGGAAACCGGGGCUAAUACCGGAUAUGAGAACCGCAGGCAUCUGCGGCUCUGGAAAGUUUUUCGGUUGAAGAUGACUUCGCGGCCUAUCAGCUUGUUGGUGAGGUAAUGGCUCACCAAGGCGACGACGGGUAGCCGGCCUGAGAGGGCGACCGGCCACACUGGGACUGAGACACGGCCCAGACUCCUACGGGAGGCAGCAGUGGGGAAUAUUGGGCAAUGGAGGAAGCUCUGACCCAGCGACGCCGCGUGCGGGAUGAAGGCCUUCGGGUUGUAAACCGCUUUCAGCAGGGAAGAAGCGAAAAUGACGGUACCUGCAGAAGAAGCACCGGCUAACUAUGU
rnacentral:rRNA from 1 species